CCUACGGGCGGCUGCAGUGGGGAAUAUUGGACAAUGGGCGAAAGCCUGAUCCAGCCAUGCCGCGUGUGUGAAGAAGGCCUUCGGGUUGUAAAGCACUUUCAGUGGGGAAGAAAGCCUUGGGGCUAAUACCCUCGAGGAAGGACAUCACCCACAGAAGAAGCACCGGCUAACUCCGAGCCAGCAGCCGCGGUAAUACGGAGGGUGCGAGCGUUAAUCGGAAUUACUGGGCGUAAAGCGCGCGUAGGCGGUCUGAUAAGCCGGUUGUGAAAGCCCCGGGCUCAACCUGGGAACGGCAUCCGGAACUGUCAGGCUAGAGUGCAGGAGAGGAAGGUAGAAUUCCCGGUGUAGCGGUGAAAUGCGUAGAGAUCGGGAGGAAUACCAGUGGCGAAGGCGGCCUUCUGGACUGACACUGACGCUGAGGUGCGAAAGCGUGGGUAGCAAACAGGAUUAGAUACCCUAGUAGUC
rnacentral:rRNA from 1 species